GCACAACUAAACACAAAGAUAUUGUAAUUUUGUUUUCUAUAUAGGCAAGAAAAGGUAUGCUGAGAUGACCGGAGAGGCGAUGAACGAGGAGGCGAUGAGAGACGUCGAUCUUACACCAGAACAAAAGGAAGAGGUGAAGCAUGACCUUGAGAAAAAAAUCAAAGAAGAUGUCGAGGAGGAGAGACUCAAACUCGGUGUCUAAUCGAGCAUGGCAGCCCACAAGGAUCUUCACUGAGAAUCAAGACCUAGUCUGUUUAAUGGACAUCAUUAAAUAAACAUUUGCAGAUC